rnacentral:tRNA from 1 species
UGGGAUGUGGCUCACUUAGUAGAGUGCUGGCCUAGUAUGCAGGAAGGCCUGGGUUCAAGCCCCGGCAGCACAC